UACGUAGGGUCCGAGCGUUGUCCGGAAUUAUUGGGCGUAAAGGGCUCGUAGGCGGUUCGUCACGUCGGGAGUGAAAACUCGGGGCUUAACCCCGAGCCUGCUUCCGAUACGGGCAGACUAGAGGUAGGCAGGGGAGAGCGGAACUCCUGGUGUAGCGGUGGAAUGCGCAGAUAUCAGGAAGAACACCGGUGGCGAAGGCGGCUCUCUGGGCCUUACCUGAUGCUGAGGAGCGAAAGCGUGGGUAGCGAACAGG
rnacentral:rRNA from 1 species